CGGGUAGCCGGCCUGRGARGGUGACCGGSCACACKGGGACUGAGACRCGGGGRGACSCUASGGGAGGCAGCAGUGGGGAAUAUUGCACAAUGGGCGGAAGSCUGAUGCAGCGACGCCGCGUGAGGGAUGACGGCCUUCGGGUUGUAAACCUCUUUCAGCAGGGAAGAAGCCACAAGUGACGGUACCUGCAGAAGAAGCGCCGGCUAACUACGUGCCAGCAGCCGCGGUAAUACGUAGGGCGCAAGCGUUGUCCGGAAUUAUUGGGCGUAAAGAGCUCGUAGGCGGUUUGUCGCGUCUGCUGUGAAAGCCCGGGGCUCAACCCCGGGUCUGCAGUGGGUACGGGCAGACUAGAGUGCAGUAGGGGAGACUGGAAUUCCUGGUGUAGCGGUGAAAUGCGCAGAUAUCAGGAGGAACACCGAUGGCGAAGGCAGGUCUCUGGGCUGUUACUGACGCUGAGGAGCGAAAGCAUGGGGAGCGAACAGGAUUAGAUACCCUGGUAGUCCAUGCCGUAAACGUUGGGCACUAGGUGUGGGGGACAUUCCACGUUCUCCGCGCCGUAGCUAACGCAUUAAGUGCCCCGCCUGGGGGAGUACGG
rnacentral:rRNA from 1 species